rnacentral:rRNA from 1 species
CCUACGGAGGGCAGCAGUGGGGAAUAUUGGACAAUGGGCGAAAGCCUGAUCCAGCCAUGCCGCGUGUGUGAAGAAGGCCUUCGGGUUGUAAAGCACUUUCAGUGGGGAAGAAAGCCUUGGGGCUAAUACCCUCGAGGAAGGACAUCACCCACAGAAGAAGCACCGGCUAACUCCGUGCCAGCAGCCGCGGUAAUACGGAGGGUGCGAGCGUUAAUCGGAAUUACUGGGCGUAAAGCGCGCGUAGGCGGGUUGAUAAGCCGGUUGUGAAAGCCCCGGGCUCAACCUGGGGACAGGCAUCCGGACCUGUCAGGCUAGAGUGCGGGAGAGGAAGGUAGAAUUCCCGGUGUAGCGGUGAAAUGCGUAGAGAUCGGGAGGAAUACCGGCGGCGAAGGCGGCCUUCUGGACUGACACUGACGCUGAGGUGCGAAAGCGUGGGUAGCAAACAGGAUUAGAUACCCCAGUAGUC